rnacentral:piRNA from 1 species
UACUGCAUUUGCAGAACUUGUUUCC